GGCGGAUGUAGCCAAGUGGAUAAGGCAGUGG
rnacentral:tRNA from 2 species